GUUUACACUUCAUGUUUGUUUACAUUUCACAUGUUGGACAUACCCUUAAACUUCAUGAUACUUUUUUGAACUUGAAAAAAUACAUAUUAUUUUCGAUAAACAUACUAUUAUUAAAUAAAAAAAAAUAACUUUUGAAAAUUAAAUAACGACUUGAAUCGGAAAUUUCUUUUUAAAAAUGCGAAUUUCACUACAGCUCUCUACCGAUUCAAAACAAAAGUGAAUACAGGUUUAUUUCCUGGCGAGAGGGCGCUAAGUGCUGUAGGUAUUAAGGUAAAUGACCCAGUUUGUGAAGGUGUACCAAUUUGUAAACAGUUGCUUAUAUAAAUGCAAAUUAAUAUUGCAAAUAUUUAUUUUUUAUUCUAUAUAACAUUUUUUUGUAAUAAUAAUAAUAAAUAGAAUUUUAUGACCAUAAAAGUGUUAUUAAAAUAAUUUUAAAGAAAUAAAUACUUUUACAAUGUUGAUAUAUUUCUGCGCGAUCAGCGCAAAUAUGGAGUUAUUUUUUAGUUUUUUAUCAUUUGUCCUUUGACAGAUUAACCUAAAAAUGUUAUCCAGUAAUAAAAGAUAAAAUUUCAUAAAAUCAGAAUAAAAAAAAGUUAAAGAGGCUAGUAUUUCGGUUGCUCGUCUGAAUCAAACUGAAAUCUUUUUGACUUAGAAUGGUAGGUCAGGAGUGAAAAGGGGUGAAAGAGGAGCAAUAUGGGAAUUCGUUGAGAGCUGGUGGAAGGUACAGGAAGAGAGGGUGGUACCUGUACUUUAUAGUGCAUGCCAUUACAGAGGAACCAACCGACGAGACGCAUCGAUCUUUAUACAUUGAGGUUGCAUUCUAUUAUAUUCGACAGAAUCUGUCAUUAGGAUUUCCCCCUUCGAGGUAGCGUGGCCGAGCGGUCUAAGGCGCUGGUUUAAGGCACCAGUCUCUUCGGAGGCGUGGGUUCGAAUCCCACCGCUGCCAAUUUUUUGGUCAUGAAAGGACUUUAGACAGAUCGAAGGGUUCUCGUACAAUGACACAGUAACCCAGAUUUUUGUUCACCACUUGGUUUGUGGUGUCUACGAUACAUUUGCAUGCGCCGACAAAUAAAUGUCCGCUUUAGAUCCGUUAAGGUGGACUCACGCACACGCAACAAGACGUUAACAUCGGGUCAGUAGUUUUUCCCUGUAGAAACUCACUAGUGCGAUUCAAUCUGAGGCAUUUCUUGGCACGCGAUAUACCCUGGUGAACCACCUGCCAAGAGGGUUCGAAAUCCUUUCUAUAUACAUAAAGCAAGCUUACUGAAAUUUAUCAUCUGCUUUUUAUGUAUUAUUAUUUUCACUAAAUACCUCUUCAAAUUGUUACUUCAAAUUAUUCAUU